AAAUUGACACCGUAACUUCGGGAGAAGGUGUGCCGCUGGCGGUUAGUGACUUCGCGUCACGAAGCUGUUGGUGGUCGCAGUGAAAUGGCGGUUGUGACUGUUUACUAAAAACACAGGACUCUGCGAAGUCGUAAGACGACGUAUAGGGUCUGAUGCCUGCCCGGUGCUGGAAGGUUAAGGGGAUAUGUCAGCGCAAGCGAAGCAUUGAACCGAAGCCCCAGUAAACGGCGGCCGUAACUAUAACGGUCCUAAGGUAGCGAAAUUCCUUGUCGGGUAAGUUCCGACCUGCACGAGGGCAUAACAACAUCCGCACUCUCGACCAGGGACUCAGCGAAAUUACAUUGGGGGUGAAGAUGCCCUCUACCCGCGGAAAGACGGAAAGACCCCAUGAACCUUUACUGCAACUUGGCAGUGAUUUUCGGGUUGUUCUGCGUAGGAUAGGUGGGAGGCUUUGAAGCCGGGCUUCCGGGUUCGGCAGAGCCAACGUUGAAAUACCACCCUGAAUAAUCUGGAAAUCUAACCUGCGCCCAUGAUCUGGGCGAGGGACACUGCCUGGUGGGCAGUUUGACUGGGGCGGUCGCCUCCUAAAUUGUAACGGAGGCGUGCGACGGUUCCCUCAGGCUGAUUGGAAACCAGCCGUAGAGUGCAAACGCAUAAGGGAGCUUUACUGCGAGACUGACAAGUCGACCAGUUGCGAAAGCAGGUGUUAGUGAUCCGGUGGUACCACAUGGAAGGGCCAUCGCUCAUCGGAUAAAAGGUACUCUGGGGAUAACAGGCUGAUCGCGCCUGAGAGUUCACAUCGGCGGCGCGGUUUGGCACCUCGAUGUCGGCUCAUCGCAUCCUGGGGCUGGAGCAGGUCCCAAGGGUUUGGCUGUUCGCCAAUUAAAGCGGUACGCGAGCUGGGUUUAAAACGUCGUGAGACAGUUUGGUCCCUAUCUUCCGUGGGCGCAGGACACUUGAGAGGAGCUAUCCAUAGUACGAGAGGACCUGGAUGGACGAACCUCUGGUGCUCCGGUUGUCACGCCAGUGGCAUAGCCGGGUAGCCAUGUUCGGAACAGAUAACCGCUGAAGGCAUAUAAGCGGGAAGCUGGCCUCAAGACUAGGUGUCCCUGACGCAAGUCACUAAAGGCCCCUCGAAGACUACGAGGUUGAUAGGCUCGGUGUGGGAGCGCUGCGAGGCGCGGAGCUAACGAGUACUAAUAGGCCGUGAGGCUUGACCUC
rnacentral:rRNA from 1 species